rnacentral:rRNA from 1 species
CCGUGUCGGGUAAAAAAANUNGCGGGGGGUNNNNNCCUUCGCGCAUUCGCCUUGAGUUGAUAUGGCUCAGAAUCAACGCUGGCGGCGUGCCUAACACAUGCAAGUCGAACGCGAAAGCCCCGAAAGGGGCAAGUAGAGUGGCAAACGGGUGAGUAACGCGUGGGUGACCUGCCUUCGAGCGGGGGAUAACGUUCCGAAAGGGACGCUAAUACCGCAUAACAUCCUGCCCUUGAAUGGGUGGAGAUCAAAGCUGGGGAUUCGCAAGAACCCGGCACUUGAAGAGGGGCCCGCGUCUGAUUAGCUAGUUGGUGAGGUAACGGCUCACCAAGGCAACGAUCAGUAUCCGGCCUGAGAGGGCGGACGGACACACUGGGACUGAGACACGGCCCAGACUCCUACGGGAGGCAGCAGUGGGGAAUUGUUCGCAAUGGGCGCAAGCCUGACGACGCAACGCCGCGUGGAGGAUGAAGAUUUUCGGAUCGUAAACUCCUGUCGAAUGGGACGAAAAAGUUGCGGGUUAACAGCCCC